CCUUCUCCUAGAAGCUUUGCAGGUGUUGUUGUUGUGCCACAUGUGUGUCAGUAGAUAGCAGAGAGGAGAGCUCUGUCUACACUUAGUGGUCUGCCCUAUGGACAUCUGAAUUAUUAGUAGCUGAACAUU
rnacentral:snoRNA from 1 species